UUACACAUUUUUUUAUAGGAAUGCAAGGUGUGAAAACGUUUUGUUUGUUUCCAUAUUAAUGCACAAAACGACAUGCUAGCAAUGGUGUUAUGUAUCCUUAGACCGUCAAUAUUUAAUAUAACAUUUUAAAGACACAUUUUUAAAUAUCCACAUUCUUAUUAAAAACAUCUUUAAUUGUUUUCCAAUUGCAAUGAUUCUGUAUUAUUAUUAUUAUUAUUAUUAUUAUUGAAAUAAUGUUAACAUAUUUUAUAUUGUCUGGAAUAAAAAAACAGUAGUAUUAUUUCUGUACUUCCAAUAUGAAGUUCAUAAGUUACUUGGAUAUUUUACGGGAAUAUAAUCAGUGAGUUCAUGGAAUGUAAUCAAGUAAGUAGCAGAAGUAUCACUAUAAGUCUCACUAUAAAUUUCUUAGCUUUUCCCCCCCACCAGUUGUUACAGACGCUAGUGAUCUGAAUAUUUAGUUAAUAGCAGACAGAUGGCCUGCUCAUAAGUUAAACUGUGUAGGGUCUACAAAUUGAAAUUUUUAGUGGUAGUUUUGUUACCGAUUUUGGAUUGUAGCUGUUUGCUUGCAUUUUUAUGUAAUGUAUAUGCCAAGUCAGUGAUUGAAUGAUGUUGUUAAAACUUGUGUAUUUCAAAAGUUUCUUAUUUUAAACUGCAUUGGUCAUAACAAUGAAAAUUCAUUAUGAUUUUCAAUCUCUGAGUUGUGUAUUUGUAUAUAUGUAUGUAUGUUUAUAUUUGAUAAUGUAGAGUUAUAAAAUGAUAGUUUAGACAGCAAAACAUAGGGUUGUUUGUCAAUUCAUUCAUACAUAUUGUUGUCCUAUAUUAAAUGUAUUUCUUUGAAAUGAUGAGGUUUUCUGUGCGCAUAGUUUGACUACAGACGCUGAGAUAUUUAGCCAUGAUAGGUUUACUGUCCUAUUUGUGAGUUUGAUUGGUACCAGUUAAGUAUGUUUUGUUUUCAAAGCAAAAUAUUGUGCCCCACUUUGAAUGUCAGUCUUUUAUAUUAGUGUUUUCUGAGUGCUAUUACUUAACUUACUCCAGUUUAUUUAAAAUGGUAACAGCUGGACACCAAGAGUUUUGUGGAAUUUUAAUCAUUGUUGUGAAUGAAUUAAUGAAGACCAGUGGUUCUUAUGCUGGGGUAUGCAUGCUACCAAUGAUACUUGAAAUUCCUUGAGGUCAUACGCAAAAAUAUUGUUAUUAUUUGUUGUGUGCGCUGAAAAAAACAAAAAACAGGAAUUGAACAUUUUUAUUUCUUAAUUUAAAAAUAUAUUUUCUUAAUAGUUUUCACGAUGUUUAAGACACUUUACAUAUUCUUAAUUAUGACACAUUUAGGGCAGGUUAACAUCACCUGCACUAUACUGUAUGCAGCAGUUCUUGAGUCUGAGAAGGAUUAUUCUUCGGUCACCUGCAGUAGCUGAUACCAUAGCUCAUCACCUGCAAUGGUGAUACAAGGAGCACUACAAGUGUUAGUAAGUGUCGGAAAACCACGAAACAGCGGUAUGAUCCCAGUUACCUAAGUUUGGGAUUUACUUAAAUUCGAACAGAGGAAGACCAAAGCUUACUCCACUUAUCCCUGACAUUUCUAAUCUUUGCCAUGCCAAGUAGGCUCACCCCAUAUCACUGAAAUGGUAAGUGCUGUUGUUUUUCGUGUAUGCUCAUGUGUUUGUGCACACGUACGUGCAUUCAGGAUACUGUGAUUUUUUUUUUUUCCCACACCCAUGUGGUACUUGCCUACUUUGCUUUGAUCUAAACUGGUAUGUAAUACAGAAGGUCUGAGAACCACUGAUCACUAAAGGUUUAAAACGAAACAAGCAAAACAUACCUUGACAGUGAUUUUCAAAUGGUACAGAGCAGUUGUAUGAACUUUUUGAAGUAAACAAAAAAAAAAA